ACUCAAAUGAAUAGACGGGGGCCCGCACAAGCGGUGGAGCAUGUGGUUUAAUUCGACGCAACGCGAAGAACCUUACCUGGGCUCGAACGGCUUUGGACCGACUCUGGAAACAGGGUCUUUCCCGCAAGGGACUGAAGUCGAGGUGCUGCAUGGCUGUCGUCAGCUCGUGUCGUGAGAUGUUGGGUUAAGUCCCGCAACGAGCGCAACCCUUGUCCUGUGUUGCUAAUCUUCGGAUGCACUCUCAGGAGACCGCCAGCGAUAAGCUGGAGGAAGGUGGGGAUGACGUCAAGUCAUCAUGGCCUUUAUGUCCAGGGCUACACACGUGCUACAAUGGGCGGUACAAAGCGCAGCAAACCCGCGAGGGAGAGCAAAUCGCAGAAAACCGUUCUCAGUUCGGAUUGCAGGCUGCAACUCGCCUGCAUGAAGCUGGAAUCGCUAGUAAUGGUAUAUCAGAACGAUACCGUGAAUACGUUCCCGGGCCUUGCACACACCGCCCGU
rnacentral:rRNA from 1 species